CCAGUGAGGCGGAGACGGCGGGAAGAGGUUUAAAUAGCGGAGACGGCGGCAGCCCCCUGCCCGCAGCUCCCCGGGCCGGCGCCGAGUUUCCCCGCUUAGAAAAGACUGAGCAUUUCUGCCUGGUGUGAGAAGAGCAUCACCAAGCUGUGUGGGGACGUUCUUUGAGCUUCCACUUUUGUGUCUCUCAUGGACAAACACAAAGUGAAGCGGCAACGUCUGGAUCGCAUAUUUGAAGAGAGAAACAAAAGGAAGAUACAGAAGAGAAGUUGAAGAAGAAAGGAAAGACAGAGGAAAAAAUAGUGGAGAAAAUCAGAACAGAGUUGGCUUUUCUGAAAGGAGUUGUCCAGGAAGCAAAAUGAGCAGCUUCCCUCCCUUUUUUUCCUGUUUUUAGCCCAUCCCAGAUACUGCAAUUCUGAGAUAAGUGGGUCAGGCAAAAGGACAUAAUUAAUAGUGAUUUCACAGUUGCUGUGGGUACAGGAGAGCAUAGUGGGAAGAAUGGAUUCAAGGAAAUGUUGGCAGGCUCUCAGUGGAAAGCUCCCAGCUGAGCCCCAGGUUGCCAUGCCCAUCUUGUGCUGUAAGAUUUUGGGCUGUGCCAGCCAGGUGUGAGCUGGAUCAGAGUGGGAAUGGAGCAGAUGGAUUCUCUACUGGGUGCUCUAGUGGAUGAAGUGCAGCAUAUCUUAAGUACACUGAAUUUAGUAUGGGACAGGAUGCAUUUGUGAGAGCAGCUGGAGAAAGGAUGGAUCAACCCUUUGGGAAGCAUUGUGGGGAAACAAAGAGCUAAGUACCCUGACCAGGGGGCAUAAUGGGACAUAAUUUUUCUUUCUGUCUGAUAUUCUGAAUUUAUUACUAAGGAAAAUUUCUUGUUUCCCACGUGCACCUCCAGUCUCUGUUACCUUGCAGUGCUUUGUUUCCUCUGGUUGGUGAUCAUGCAGCAUCAGCAAAGCUUGUGUGGGAUGUGCUGCACAUGGUCCAAGGACAGCAUUUUGUGCAUUUCUGCUGAGAGAUUAACUUGGUUUUAACAUCUGGAGAUAAGGAGAGAGCACAUGUAGCAAGUUACGGUUUGAAGGUGCUGCUGCAGAGAAACUUCUUCAAACAGAUGUAGUGGCAUUGCUGUCAUGGAAGAUGGAAGGACAAACCACUUGUGUUGUUCAAAUCUGCUUUCUGCAAGGUUUAAUUUUAUUUGCUUUUCUUUUCCUGAUGGAGCCAAGUUCCUAUGUCCUGGUCAGGGGAUGGUGCCAUGUUUUUGGAUGCUCCUAAAGCCCUGAUGGGUCUUUGUGAAUUCUGGUGCCCCAUCUGCUCUUGGACAGGUGGAGCCCCUUGGAUUAAUAUUCCCAACAGUCUCUGUGCUUGGAUUACACAUUCCCAAAAUCACCUGCUUUUGCUGUCAGCACAUCCUGCAAGAAAAGCUUUUCUCUUGAGGAGGAAAUGCCUGAACAGGAGCUUUUUACAUCCCUAUUCAACUCAGCCACUUUGGAAAUGUAGUUGUGAGCAGCAUGUCCUGGUUGCUCAUAGAGAUUCUCUUCAUCCAGCUGUGGCCUGUCAGGUCCAGCUGUUGGGAGAUCACUGCCCUGCAUCCCUUGCUGGAGAUGAGUUGUUGGUGAGGUUGGACACUGUGCUUACAGAAGAAAGGCAAUGCCUGGGAUGGGCUGUCCCUGAUGGAGAGGGGGAGUGCAACACCUUGGCAAGAUGAUCUUAUUUCUUUGCCUCCAGAAAAAUAGUAAAUUCAUGCUUUCAGAUCUGUACAAGUGCUUGUGGGUGCCAACAUACUGCAGAAUAGUUGACUGUGUACAUCUCAUGGUUUCAGCUCUUGAAUGCAGAGGAUGAAGCACAAGCAUCUGAGGGGUUGGGAUUUUAUUUUAGAUCAAGUCUAUGUUUCAGAUUUUAGGACAUAUUUUGGGGUCUGAACUUUAUGGUAUUGAACCUUUGUCCUUUUCAUGAAAAUAAAAAGACUCUUCUCUCUGUGGUUA